rnacentral:piRNA from 1 species
UCCUAUGAUGCAGGCCUUACUAGGUGCAGU